CGCCGAAACCGGGGCCGCCCAUGGCGGCCCUGUUCGUCCCGGUGUGUUGGCCGGGGCCUGACGAUGGCAGACACCA
rnacentral:hammerhead_ribozyme from 1 species